rnacentral:rRNA from 1 species
ACAUGGAUAACUGUAGUAAUUCUAGAGCUAAUACAUGCAAAAAGUCCCGACUGACUUGUUGGAAGGGAUGUAUUUAUUAGGUACAAAAUCAAUAUCAACUUGAUGAUUCAUAAUAACUAUUCGAAGCGCAGAGUCCUAGUGGCGGCGCUGAUACAAACGAGUUUCUGCCCUAUCAACUUUCGAUGGUAGUAUAGGGGACUACCAUGGUGUUAACGGGUAACGGGGAAUUAGGGUUCUAUUCCGGAGAGGGGGCCUGAGAAAUGGCCACCACUUCCAAGGAAGGCAGCAGGCGCGCAAAUUACCCAAUCUCAAUUCGAGGAGGUAGUGACAAGAAAUACCGUUGAAGGACACUACGUGUACUUCAUUCGGAAUGAGAACAAUUUAAACACCUUAACGAGGAUCAAUUGGAGGGCAAGUCUGGUGCCAGCAGCCGCGGUAAUUCCAGCUCCAAUAGUGUAUAUUAUUGUUGCUGUAGUUAAAAAGCUCGUAGUUGGACUUCGAAAUGCGAUUGUCAAAGCCCGUCCAAGUGGCGUGGCUCGACUGAUUGCUUUCUGUCUUUGGGUAAUGGGCGUUGCUUCGGCGGCGUUUCCGUUCCUAAUUGUUUACUUUGAAAAAAUUAGCGCGUUCAAAGCAGGUGUAACUUUGCCUUGAAUAGUUUAGCAUGGGAUAAUAGAAUAGGACCACUGGCCUUAUUUUAUUGGUUUCUAAAGCUGGGGUAAUGAUUAAUAGGGACAGUUGGGGUCGGUCGUAUUGAAUCGUCAGAGGUGAAAUUCUAUGAUUGAUUCAAGAUGAACUGGUGCGAAAGCGUCCGACAAGGAUGUUUCCGUUAAUCAAGAACGAAAGUUGGGGGAUCGAAGAUGAUCAGAUACCGUCGUAGUCCUAACCAUAAACUAUGUGGACCAAGGAUCCGAGGAUUUUCCAUGGAUGACUCUCCGGGCACUUUGUGAGAAAUCAGAGUAUUUGCAUUCCGGGGGGAGUAUGGCCGCAAGACUGAAACUUAAAGGAAUUGACGGAAGGGCACCACCAGGAGUGGAAUCUGCGGCUUAAUUUGACACAACACGGGGAAACUCACCAGGUCCGGACACAGUAAGGAUUGACAGAUUGAGAGCUCUUUCUUGAUUCUGUGGGUGGUGGUGCAUGGCCGUUUUUAGUUGGUGGAUUGAUUUGUCUUGUUAAUUCAGAUAACGAGCGAGACCUCAUCCUGCUAAUUAGUGAUGUGAAUUUGGUUCCCGCAAGGGUUCCUAUCUGAUUCGUAGACUACUUCUUAGAGGGACUCUCGGCACU